GUGAGGAAUAUUGCGCAAUGGAGGCAACUCUGACGCAGCCAUGCCGCGUGCAGGAAGAAGGCGCUACGCGUUGUAAACUGCUUUUAACCGGGAAGAAACCCCAGGACGUGUCCUGGGUUGACGGUACCGGAGGAAUAAGCACCGGCUAACUUCGUGCCAGCAGCCGCGGUAAUACGAAGGGUGCAAGCGUUAUCCGGAUUCAGUGGGUUUAAAGGGUGCGUAGGCGGAGCGUUAAGUCAGUGGUGAAAUCCUGCAGCUUAACUGUAGACUUGCCAUUGAUACUGGCGCUCUUGAGUGCGCUUGAAGUGGGCGGAAUGUGCCGUGUAGCGGUGAAAUGCUUAGAUAUGGCACAGAACACCAAUUGCGAAGGCAGCUCACUAAGGCGAUACUGACGCUGAGGCACGAAAGCGUGGGGAUCGAACAGGAUUAGAUACCCGAGUAGUCC
rnacentral:rRNA from 1 species